AUUGAACGCUGGCGGCAGGCCUAACACAUGCAAGUCGAGCGGAUGAAGGGAGCUUGCUCCUGGAUUCAGCGGCGGACGGGUGAGUAAUGCCUAGGAAUCUGCCUGGUAGUGGGGGAUAACGUCCGGAAACGGGCGCUAAUACCGCAUACGUCCUGAGGGAGAAAGUGGGGGAUCUUCGGACCGCACGCUAUCAGAUGAGCCUCGGUCGGAUUAGCUAGUUGGUGGGGUAAAGGCCUACCAAGGCGACGAUCCGUAACUGGUCUGAGAGGAUGAUCAGUCACACUGGAACUGAGACACGGUCCAGACUCCUACGGGAGGCAGCAGUGGGGAAUAUUGGACAAUGGGCGAAAGCCUGAUACAGCCAUGCCGCGUGUGUGAAGAAGGUCUUCGGAUUGUAAAGCACUUUAAGGUGGGAGGAAGGGCAGUAAGUUAAUACCUUGCUGUUUUGACGUUACCAACAGAAUAAGCACCGGCUAACUUCGU
rnacentral:rRNA from 1 species